rnacentral:lncRNA from 1 species
AGGAAGACAAUUAGGAAGGUAAUGUCUUGAAAUGAAUUAGAUGAAACAAAUUUUAUGAUUCAACAACUUAUCAUCAUGUCGGAAAAUAUAUUUUUUUUCAGUAUGAUUUUUAAAGAGAUAUAGAUAAAGAGAUGAAUGAUUAUUAUACAACUUGAUUGAAAUGAUAUGAGGAAGACCGGUCAUUCCAAUGUGUAGAUCAUAUGACCAAUAAUCUUAAUCACAUGAUCACAU